UUGACACUAAGGGCGGAGUGACAUAAUUUCAGGAGUGAGGGUUAGGGAGAGGUUUCCCCCUCCCCCUGGGGUUCUUAGUAAGCCUGGAAGCUAAUCACUAAGAGUAUCACCAGUAUGAUGACGUGCUUCAUCAUACCCCUUUCCUUAUU
rnacentral:sRNA from 20 species